GGACUGUGAAGAUCAAGAGAAAGCUGCUAACUUUCAUCUUUAGCGGUUAAAUUCCGUUUACAUUCCU
rnacentral:tRNA from 1 species